CUUUUGCCUUUGAGUUGGAAGAUUCUUUAUCUACUGGCUUUAUACAGUAAAGAUGUUUGUGACGAGCUGUCUUGCAGCAUCUCUCUGUGCUCAUCAAUAAUAAAAGGCAGUUUGGGAAGUGUUUGCCAGCCAGAACUGGAAGUGAAUGUUCAUGCUGCUCAUCUGUUGCAUGUCGUGCUGUUUGGUCACAUUUCUAAGGAUUUAUGGAAAUGCAAAGUAAAUAAAUCUGAACAAGAAGACUGUAAUCGGCUGUUAGUUCUUCCACCAGCUUUGAAAACCAG